GGCCUUGACAUACUAAGAACUUUCCAGAGAUGGAUUGGUGCCUUCGGGAACUUAGAUACAGGUGCUGCAUGGCUGUCGUCAGCUCGUGUCGUGAGAUGUUGGGUUAAGUCCCGCAACGAGCGCAACCCUUUUCCUUAUUUGCCAGCGGGUCAUGCCGGGAACUUUAAGGAUACUGCCAGUGACAAACUGGAGGAAGGCGGGGACGACGUCAAGUCAUCAUGGCCCUUACGGCCAGGGCUACACACGUGCUACAAUGGUCGGUACAAAGGGUUGCUACCUCGCGAGAGGAUGCUAAUCUCAAAAAGCCGAUCGUAGUCCGGAUCGCAGUCUGCAACUCGACUGCGUGAAGUCGGAAUCGCUAGUAAUCGCGGAUCAGAGUGCCGCGGUGAAUACGUUCCCGGGCCUUGUACACACCGCCCGUCACACCAUGGGAGUUUGUUGCACCAGAAGUAGGUAGUCUAACCGCAAGGAGGACGCUUACCACGGUGUGGCCGAUGACUGGGGUGAAGUCGUAACAAGGUAAGCGUAGAUGA
rnacentral:rRNA from 1 species